rnacentral:rRNA from 1 species
GACGAACGCUGGCGGCGUGCUUAACACAUGCAAGUCGAACGAAGAGCGAUGGAAGCUUGCUUCUAUCAAUCUUAGUGGCGCACGGGUGAGUAACGCGUAAUCAACCUGCCCUUCAGAGGGGGACAACAGUUGGAAACGACUGCUAAUACCGCAUACGAUCUAACCUCGGCAUCGGUGAUAGAUGAAAGGUGGCCUCUACAUGUAAGCUAUCACUUAAGGAGGGGAUUGCGUCUGAGUAGCUAGUUGGCGUGGUAACGGCCCACCAAGGCGAGGAUCAGUAGCCGGUCUGAGAGGAUGAACGGCCAGACUGGGACUGAGACACGGCACAGAGUCCUACAGGAGGCAGCAGUGGGGAAUCUUGCGCAAUGGACGAAAGUCUGACGGAGCAACGCCGCGUGAGUGAUGACGGACUUCGCGUUGUAAAGCUCGGUUAAUCGGGACGAAAGGCCUUCUUGCGAAUAGUUAGCAGGAUUGACGGUACCGGAAUAGAAAGCAACGGCUAACUACGUG